rnacentral:lncRNA from 1 species
AGGUAAUCCGUCUUCUCUUGAGGCCAGCUUACUUGAGAACAGGAAGAAGACACUCCGAGUUGCUUUCCUAACGACCCGCACGGGAUACUUCAACUUGAAGAUCUACCGCCCGCCGGAUCGAUCAUUCGCCAUUCGUCAAGUCAGUCCGCCUGUUGACAUAUUACACUAUUCCUCUUUUGAACAUGUUCUGGAAGAAAUGACAAGGGCCAGCGAAUACGGUCUGUAGUGACCAUAACUACGGACUACGGACUACGGACUUUUAGCUCCAGCGCGCGGCUCUAGUGAGUUCAAGUUGGGGCCGUUCUGCCCGAGAUGAUAGACUACGUAUGCGCGGAGUACGGAGUGCUAUUGCGACACAUCCUCUUUAGUCUCUUUGUAAGUGCGUGCUUCCAUCGUAUUCUUUUCCUGCGCACACCCGGCACGUAGAUUGGCCGUCCAAACCAUCAAUUUAUCGCGUUCGGGGCCAGCGGCCGAAAUAGGCCGAUAAGAAUCGACCGUACCAAUCGAACCGUAUAGCGCGAACCGGAGCAUGGAUUGAUAAUUUGAUACAGACUUCCCAUCCGAGAACUACUUGCAGGACGUCAAUGGGGGCUAAUGCUUAUCACACAUA